GGUGCUUGCACCCCGCUGACGAGCGGCGGACGGGUGAGUAAUGCUUAGGAAUCUGCCCAGUAGUGGGGGAUAGCCCGGGGAAACCCGGAUUAAUACCGCAUACGUCCUACGGGAGAAAGCAGGGGAUCUUCGGACCUUGCGCUAUUGGAUGAGCCUAAGUCGGAUUAGCUAGUUGGUGGGGUAAAGGCCUACCAAGGCGACGAUCCGUAGCUGGUCUGAGAGGAUGAUCAGCCACAUCGGGACUGAGACACGGCCCGAACUCCUACGGGAGGCAGCAGUGGGGAAUAUUGGACAAUGGGGGCAACCCUGAUCCAGCCAUGCCGCGUGUGUGAAGAAGGCUUUC
rnacentral:rRNA from 1 species